AGCACCAGGAGGGUGAUCCAACAGGCAGUUACAAGUGGCCUCGAACCAAAUGGGAAGAAUAGAAAAUCUUAGGAAAAACCCAGACGUGACGGUGAGGAACCGGAUGGGAAUAAUAGCAGGACGAACCCUGGUCGCCUGGCAGGGGCGGUGUGGCCGUGCAGCGUACCCGCGACCCUGAGCACACGUGGGAACCCACCCAGUCUGAGCAGCAGAGAGAAACACUGAAGACGACAUGAACGGGGCCUCAGGGGCGAUGAGACGAUGUCACUAGAGCCCCAGAGGAGAGGGGAGGGGAGUGAGGCUGGAAGAGAACUAGGAUAAACCAUGGCUGAGAACUCCCCAAAUUUCGUAAAAGACGUGCACCUACAGGUUCAAGAAUCUGAACAAAUCCCGAAUAGGAAAACACCCUCAAACCCACGCCAAGUCACAUCGUGACUAAACUUUUGAAAACUAAAGAUAAACCAAAAUGUUUGCAACACCCAGAAGGAAACACAUUGCUGAUGAAAAAAACAACCCCGUUUCAACAGUAGCUAGUUCAUCUGAGACCACAGAGACCAGAAGGAAGAGGCACAUUUUCAAGGGCUGAAAGGAUAGCACCGUCAACCCCAAAUUACCCUUUGGGGUGAAGGGGAAACAAAGACAACGUUCUCAGGCAGAAAUAAACACAUAAAUCAGUGAAUGAAUUUGUCAGUAGUGACCUGCCGUCCAACAGAGGGCAAAGGAAGGUUUUCAAACAGAAAGGACACGACCGGAGGACGCUUGGAGCCUUGGGAAGGAAGACGGAGCGGGCGGAGCGCAAGAUGGGCCUCCUUCCCGCCCCACAGGGGUGUCUGAGUCACAUCUGAUGGUGGAGACAAAAAUCACGACACCGUUGGACACUCUAGACAGCUGCCUUUAGGAGUGAGGAGGUGCAGAGCGCCAAACAGAGGCCAGGAUUCCGAGAUGGAGGAUGGGCCGGGUCGGGGCCUCCUGGCGGCCCCGAGGCGGAAGCUGCCGGGCCUCACUCCUCUGCCCCCGCGCAGCCGUCUCUCUCAGAGUCUCCUCCUGGCCUCACGUGAGGACACGCUCCCUGGCGGUUAGAGCCCGCAAGCAGGGCAAACCCAUGACACCCUCAGAGUGUCCGUAGGAUACGCCCCGAUGUUCGAAAUCAGCUCGCCUGUUUAACCUUGGGAGGAAUGUCUUCCCGGGGGGCUCUCCAAGAGAUCACGCGAUGAGAAAACCAGCGCGGACGUGAGAAGCGGGCAGUCCCUUCCGGCUCCCCCUGUGUGGCAGGCAGGACUGUCCGGUGCCAGGCUGGCUGCUCCCCGAGGGUGCGGUCACGCGGGUGAGCGCCUCGGGAGCAGAGCUGGUGCCCAGGAGCUGGAGGGAUGGGGCAGGGCCCGCGAGGUGCAGGGUGGGCAAGGCCGGGGCGUGAGGAGGGGUGAGCCCUGGCUGCGGCCUGACCUGCGGGCUCACUCGCCGCCUGGGCCGGCUUGGCGGGAGGGGUCCACGGGGGCCCCCCUCCCAGGCGCCCUGCACAGAGAUGGCUGCAGUGGCGGGUGGGGCAGGGGCUGCAGGGAGCCUGGGUGGACGCCUCGGAGGAACUGGGACAUUGAGACAAGACGGGUUCUGUUUACUUCUCCUCUUCGGGGUCUGUCUUCUAUUUUAAUUAUUUUCUCUCUCAUGUUUCCGUCCCCUCUGUUCAUAACAAAUUUGUUUUGCUCACGUUUGCAUGUUUUCAUCACUCUAGUUUCCUAUUUUCAGCCUCUCUGGGUUCUCACCCUGUGACGGUUUUAUUUUUCUUUUCCGUGUCUUUCCUGAAUUCUGCUACGUAUCUUUUCCUUUCCUUCAAUGAUCUCAUCAGUGCUUCGUGAGCUCUUAUAUCUCUGCUUGAACUCUUGUUUAAUAGGUGAGUGUUUCCUGCAUUUCUUUGCAUUUAUGACAUUGUCAACACAACUUCAUCUCCGGAGCAAUCGUUGAU